UGGGGAAUAUUGCACAAUGGGCGGAAGCCUGAUGCAGCAACGCCGCGUGCGGGAUGACGGCCUUCGGGUUGUAAACCGCUUUCGCCUGUGACGAAGCGUGAGUGACGGUAAUGGGUAAAGAAGCACCGGCUAACUACGUG
rnacentral:rRNA from 4 species